GGCGUGUUCGUCUAGCGGCCUAGGACAUCGCCCUCUCAAGGCGAAGAUCACGGGUUCAAAUCCCGUACACGCCACCA
rnacentral:tRNA from 1 species